AAAAAUAUAAAUCAUGGGUUUCCGUAUCUAACGUUUGACUGUCCGUCUUAUAUGAAUUUUUUUUAUAAUUAGUAUUUUCAUUGUUGUUAGAUGGUAAAACAUGAUUAAUACUUUAUGCGUGACUUAUCUUUUUACUUUUUUUCAUAAUUUUCUCAAGUAAGACGGACGGUCAAACGUUUAGA
rfam:Oryza meridionalis cultivar OR44 (W2112) chromosome 7, whole genome shotgun sequence.